GAACAAAUGUCAUUUUGAUCUGAACAAGUGCCAUUUUUAUUUGAAGCCAGUGCCAUUUCGCGGGAUUAAACAAAAGGAGAAAAAAACCGACACACAGAUAUGCUCUGAACAAGUGCCAUUUCGCUCUGAGCAAGUGCCAUUUUUGUUUGAAACUAGUGCCAUUUCGCUCUGAAAACACAGAGACGCUACCACUCCUUAUAAAUUGAAUUUUCUAUCAUCUUCCCCUUUUCCAUUCUCUCUCUCUCUCUCUCUCUCUCUCUUCCAGACAGUUUCUAACUCUCAUUUUCAUUCUCAGCAGACUCUCUCCCUCUCUCACGCCCUUUGUUUCCCUUGUGAUCUCUGGGUGUUGCGAAUUUGGAAAGCUUGAUUGCGGUUUUGUCUUCCAAUCCACACGCUGAUCUCGGUGAUUUUGGGUGCUUUGUUAGUAAGUUGAGGGAACAGGUGGCCGUUGAAGCCAUCAUCGGAGACAUCAUCAUACGAAGAUUUAAAUUUCUCUCUAUUUUUCACUGCUGUGAUUUUCUUUUGGAGAAUUGGGUAGUGUCAUCUUCAAGUUCACGUUGGGAAUUAAUUCCACAUUUGAGCAACAUUGUGUCAUCGUCUGUUUUCGAGACUCAUGGCAUGAAACUAGCGAUUGUUACAUUUGCGAUUCGGAGUUAUAUAGAUGUCCGAAGGCUUUGGGUGGUUGCUUUGAGAUAGGGGCUGCUGUGAUGGGUUUGAGAUUUCCUGGUCCUCAGAAGAUCAUUGUUAGCAGGAAGUGGUAUGUAAUGUGGCCAUAUUCAUCAUCUAUUUUGAACUUCCAUUAUUAAACUGCUCUUAUAGGUCCACUAGAUUUUAUUUUUCCUCUCGAAGAAUUGGGUUUGAAUACUGAGGUUAAAAAUAAUGCGUUUUAUAGGAUUGCUUUUUAUUUUAGGUAACUCCUUUUUAUUGCAAUAGUUUUGUUCUUAGGUGCUGUUAAUUUGUUAUAUCUUUAUGUCAUGUCUUCUUUAAGUCUGACUUUUGCUAAUGUAAUGUUUUUGUUCAUAUAGAUUGCCAUAUUUUAUUAGAUGGCUUAAUGAACACCCACUCUCUCCAACAUAGGGUAUACUGAGUUAGACCUUAUUCUUUAUAUGUUGCAAUGUUAUGGGGUUUCACCAAAUUCAACAGGACCGAUUACGUGAGGUUCAAAAAGGAGAAUUUGAUUGUACCAGAUGACGUCAAUGCAAAGCCAGGAACCUCGUGGACAUGCAUGGAAGCUAUGGAAGUACGUGUAUGUGCAAAUCUUGUACGUGCGUCGAUCAAUCAAUGGGUUUAGAAGUGAAAAUCUUGAUCAUAAAGGUGAAGUAAUUCCUUCAAUCAUUCACGAGGAGUCACAUUCCAUGUGUAACAACAUCACUGAUCACGUUAAUGUUGCAAACUUGCGGCUGAAUGCCUCUUAACAUUGUUGUAUUUUUAGUUGUGGCGCUGUCUUUUUAGUGGAGAGAAUCCAGAUCUCAUGAUGUUGAGUUGAAAGAUUUCCGUUCAUAGUACUGGACAACUUAGAUCAGCAUCAUCAGUAUAGGGAAAAGAUGAAAAUUGUUCGUAUUGUGAUAAAUUGUGCAUGUAUUUUGAUCAUAACUUUGGUUACAUGUAUUAUAAUCAUGCAUGUAAAACCUAUUUUGGAAAGUUCUUUUCGGCGCGCACAAUAUGGUU